UACCAGACUCCUACGGGAGGCAGCAGUGAGGAAUAUUGGUCAAUGGCCGCAGGGCUGAACCAGCCAAGUCGCGUGAGGGAUGACGGUCCUAUGGAUUGUAAACCUCUUUUGUCGGGGAGCAAAAGACGCCACGUGUGGCGUUCCGAGAGUACCCGAAGAAAAAGCAUCGGCUAACUCCGUGCCAGCAGCCGCGGUAAUACGGAGGAUGCGAGCGUUAUCCGGAUUUAUUGGGUUUAAAGGGUGCGCAGGCGGAUUUUUAAGUCAGCGGUAAAAUCGUGGGGCUCAACCCCAUCCAGCCGUUGAAACUGGGGAUCUAGAGUGUGCGAGAGGUAUGCGGAAUGCGUGGUGUAGCGGUGAAAUGCAUAGAUAUCACGCAGAACUCCGAUUGCGAAGGCAGCAUACCGGCGCUCAACUGACGCUCAUGCACGAAAGCGUGGGUAUCGAACAGGAUUAGAUACCCCGGUA
rnacentral:rRNA from 1 species